UUAACUCCAAGAAAUGAUGCUGGACAUCCAAACUUUGCCUUAGGAUGUCCAGUGCCUUCACAAUCCUCAUGGGUAAGCAUUGAUUAAAUCUGUUGUUCCAGCACACUCUACAGAUGUUCAAUAUGAUUGAGUUUAGCGAUGUGCAUGGGCAAAAAAUUCAGUUCGGUUUGGAUCAGAAAUUCAGGUAAGUAAAAAAAAAUGUGUCUGCUUCGACAAUU